UACGAAGGGGGCUAGCGUUGCUCGGAAUGACUGGGCGUAAAGGGCGCGUAGGCGGCGCACUCAGUCCGGCGUGAAAGCCCUGGGCUCAACCUGGGGACGGCGCUGGAGACGGGUGGGCUCGAGGACGGAAGAGGCUCGCGGAAUUCCCAGUGUAGCGGUGAAAUGCGUAGAUAUCGGAAGGAACAUCAGUGGCGAAAGCGACUUCCUGGACCAAUACUGACGCUCAUGUGCGAAAGCGUGGGGAGCAAACAGG
rnacentral:rRNA from 1 species